ACCUGGAUGGCUAAGUCGGUUAAGCAUCCGACUUUGGCUCAGGUCAUGAUCUCCCAGUCCGUGGGUUCGAGCCCCACAUCAGGCU
rfam:Felis catus isolate Cinnamon breed Abyssinian chromosome B4, whole genome shotgun sequence.